CUUCAAUUUAAGAACCUUGCUAAACUGCAAAAAAAGAUAUGUUUUAGGAAAACAAAGUUCUCAAUCCCAACUUCGAAGAUAUUUAUAAAUAUCUUGAUUUUGGACUACUUGGUAUUUUUUGCAAUUUAUUUUAAUGUUAUGAUAAUGUACUUCAAAGGUUAGUUUUAUUUAUAGACGAGUUUAAAAAAUGCAGAAAAAUAUAAGCUCUCUAAAUAUAAAAA
rnacentral:lncRNA from 1 species